rnacentral:rRNA from 1 species
GCUAAACGCGAAGAACCUUACCUGGCCUUGACAUGUCUGGAAUCCCGAAGAGAUUUGGGAGUGCCGCAAGGAACCAGAACACAGGUGCUGCAUGGCCGUCGUCAGCUCGUGUCGUGAGAUGUUGGGUUAAGUCCCGCAACGAGCGCAACCCUUGUGACUAGUUGCCAGCGGGUCAUGCCGGGGAACUCUAGUCAGACUGCCCAGAUCAACUGGGAGGAAGGUGGGGACGACGUCAGGUCAGUAUGGCCCUUUAUGAUCUGGGCUACACACGUGCUACAAUGGAUGGUACAAAGAGAAGCAAGCCCGCGAGGUGGAGCGAAUCUCAAAAAGCCAUUCUCAGUUCGGAUUGGAGUCUGCAACUCGACUCCAUGAAGUCGGAAUCGCUAGUAAUUGCGAAUCAGCACGUCGCAGUGAAUGCGUU